CUCUAGCAUUUUCUUCAUUCGAGCACUCCUUCUCCAUCCUUCUCACGCAGACACGCAGAACGGCAACAGCGGUGGUGGAUUCGUCAUCGCUCUCAUGGCACAUUCGUGAGUCCCAGCUACAAUGCUCUUCUCCUCCUCCUCCAUCCUUCUCACUCAAGAACAGUGGUCGUUCUUCGCUGGCACUCUCACUCUCGCUCCCAAUAAUACUCGUUGGUCAACCUCUCUCAUAACCCCUCCACCGGUGCUCCUUGCGUCGGCACUCCUUCCAUGUCCCUCCAUGACACAACACCCGUCACGUUGUCGUCUCCCUCUCUGAAGUCGUUGUGUUGCCGUCUCCCUCUCCCUCACUCGUCGCACCUCCAUUUCCCUCUCUGAACCUUCCUCCUCGCCACUUGUCAGUGCCAACUGUCAGCCACAUCCGUGGCAUUGAUGGCACGGUAUAGGUUUUACAGAGCUUCUAAAUAUUAAAAGAGGCUUAAGGUAGGAGCAAUAGUCGCACAAUGCAGAUGGAGGGGGAAGAUGGCCAGGAGAGAACUCGGGAAACUGAAGAUGGCUACAAGGAAAAUUGGUGCACUUCAAGAAGCAAAGGAAAAACUUGAAGAAAAGGGUGGAAGAACUCACCUAGCAUCUCCAACUAGGAAAAAGUUUACGGCCUCGAAGAGUCCAAAGCACAAGAGAUAUCGAAACUACAGAAAUUCAUUACAGGAUAUGCAGAGUAAACUUAAUGAAACCAAUGCUCUGCUUGUCAAGGAGCGAGAAUGCUCUGCUUGUCAAGGAGCGAGAGAAUGUAAAGAAGGUUACCAUUGAAGCAACUCCGGUUAUGUAAGAAAUGGAGGUUAUUGUUGAAGACACUGCAAAGAUUGACGCACUAAAAUCAAAAGUUGAGAGGCUAAAAACUUCCCUUGAGAUGAAAAAUAGAAAGCUGAUUAAUUUGAAAAGAAAUAUAAUGAAAUCCAAGCUCCAAAUUAGAAGACACGGAGAAGAAGGUUCGUCAGCUCUAAGAAUCACUAUACAGGAGAUGCAUAGUCCAUCAAUGAACCAUAGAGAAUCCUCUGAAAUAGAGGAUAAGCCACAAAAGUCAUUGAAUGAGAAACAGCUAGAGAAUCAAGAGUUGCUCAUUAGAUGCACUGCACAACAUUUUAGGCUUUGCUGGAAAUAGACCAAUUGCAGCCUGUAUUAUAUACAAAUCCCUAUUGCAUUGGAGAUCGUUUGAAGUUGAGCGUACCAGUAUUCUUUAUUGCAUCAUCCAAACUAUUGGGCAUGGAAUUGAGACACAAGAGAACAAUGAUGUCUUGGGUUAUUGGCUAUCCAAUGCUUCUACGCUUCUUGUUACUCUAGCGCACCCUUAAAGCGAGAGGUGCAGUUGGAAUGGCUCCUCAACGCCGUCGUUCUUCAUCAGCAGCCCUAUUUGGAAGGAUGACACAAAGUUUCUGUGCAACACUGGGGGGAGUGAACCUUUCCCUCAGCAGUAGUGGCAUGAAUGGUGGAAUGGAUGCAUUAAGACAAUUUGAAGCCAAGUAUAAAACUAGUAUAGAACUUAAUUAACUUAAUUAAUUUUCAGCCUCUUUCAUCUAGUUAACUAGUAUAGAACUUAAUUAACUUUCAGCCUCUGUCUUAAUAUAAUAUAUUUUGUAAUGAAGUAUAUGUAAUGGAAGUAGAUAAUGUAAUCAUU